rnacentral:lncRNA from 1 species
AGGGAGCAGUUCACUUUGAUGGGAUGGACCAGGAGCAUAGGCCGUUGAUUGGCAAGUAACCUGGGGAGUGCAGCUGAGAAAUAGCCAGUCUAGCACUGAAAAAAUAGUUUAGGGGUAAUCGUCCAGUCAUUGUGCUGGAAGCUGAUUAAAUAAAUAGUUUGGACUCUGUCUCGAUUAUUAGGGGGCUGACAGGGUCACAGUAAUUACUAGUUAUUUAAUACUACUAGUUAUUAAAUACCUUACAGCAACAGGCAACAGGUGAAGCAUUUGCAAGAGUUUAGCGUUGGGGUGGAUGUGCUCCAGUGUAAAACACAGUAGACGUUAGAGACACAAACACAGAACAAUGUAUUUUAUACUAAGUGCAUGCUGAAAAAAUAUUUUGAGAUAAGUCGGGCUAGAUAAAAUAUAUUGAAUUUAUCUUUUUUUUAAUUUUCUUUUUUUUUAAAAGAUUUAUUUAUUUAUUAUAUGUAAGUACACUGUAGUUGUCUUCAGACACUCCAGAAGAGGGAAUCAGAUCUUGUUACGGAUGGUUGUGAGCCACCAUGUGGUUGCUGGGAUUUGAACUCAGGACCUUUGGAAGAGCAGUCGGUGCUCUUAACCACUGAGCCAUCUCGCCAGCCCCUGAAUUUAUCUUUGAAGGUGUGAUUGCUUGAGUAUUAUUUAAGUAGCUCACAUUAAGUGUCAGAUAUCUGCAGGGGGAGCUUAUCUAGGCUGGAAUCAAACUCUAACCAGAUGAGUGGUGGUUGACGUGGAAUGCCCCCUCAGGCCCAUGUCUGAAUACGUGGUCCCCGCUUGGCAGUGAUGCUUGGGUGGGUUAGAAUGUGUGGCUUUGCUGGAGGAAGUAGUUGCUGGGGAUGAGAUUUGAGGUUUCAAAAGGUUCAGGCCAUUCCCAGUGUUGUUCUCUGCCUCGAACUUUGGAACACGGUACGAAUGCUCAGCUGUUCCUGCCACCAUGGACUUUAACCCUCUAGAACAGCAGGUUCUGCACCUGUGGGUCACAACCCUUUCACAGAGGCCACCUAGAGCCAUCUGCAUAUCAGAUAUUUACAUUAAGAUUUAUAACUAGCAAAAUUACAGUUAUGAAGUAGCAACAGAAAUAAUUUUAUAGUUGGGGGUCACUACAACGUGAGGAAGUCUAUUAAAGAGUAGAGGCAUUAGGAAAGUUGAGAACCACUGCUCCGGAACCAUAAAUCCCGAAUUACAUACUUUCUUUUCUAAGUUGCCUUGGCCAUGAUCUUUUGUUACAACAACAGAAAAGUCGCUAAGGCAAGAUUCAUUUCAGUUGUAAGAAAUGCUUCUUUUGAAUAGAAUUCAUGCUCACCACGCCGAGAGUGAAAAUGAGUCAGAUACUGUUUUGUAUCAUGUAAGACAACAGUACUCUGUAAAUACUAAAGGGAUCCUUAAGCCAGAUUAUCAAGGACAAGAUAAAAUUGAUAUUAAAACAACUACAGUGCACUUCGAGUCAAUAAAAUACACGCCGAGG